CUCAGGAUGAACGCUAGCGACAGGCCUAACACAUGCAAGUCAGGGGCAGCACAAGGAGCAAUCUGAGGUGGCGACCGGCGCACGGGUGAGUAACACGUAUGCAACCUGCCUGUAAGCGGGGAAUAACCCGUUGAAAGACGGACUAAUACCGCAUAAUACUAAAUUACUGCAUGGUAAUUUAUUUAAACAUUUAUGGCUUACAGAUGGGCAUGCGCAUGAUUAGCUAGUUGGAGAGGUAACGGCUCCCCAAGGCAACGAUCAUUAGGGGUUCUGAGAGGAAGGUCCCCCCACACUGGUACUGAGACACGGACCAGACUCCUACGGGAGGCAGCAGUGAGGAAUAUUGGUCAAUGGACGAGAGUCUGAACCAGCCAAGUCGCGUGCAGGAAGAAUGUCCUAUGGAUUGUAAACUGCUUUUGCAGGGGAAUAAAGUGCAUCACGUGUGAUGUUUUGUAUGUACUCUGCGAAUAAGGAUCGGCUAACUCCGUGCCAGCCGCGGC
rnacentral:rRNA from 1 species